AUUCAGCUGAAGAGUCCUAAAUAGGACAAAACGCCGAUCCUAGAU
rnacentral:hammerhead_ribozyme from 1 species